CCCAUUUCCUUUCUGCAGAAAUUAUUUCUUAACAGAUUUCAGGAAAUAUGAGAAUCAAUCCAGAGUGUGGAAUAAGCAUGCAUUCCUAAGUGCUCCAGAAAUGUUUUAGUCCACAAAAUAAGUCUUAAUGCUGGUCUUAUAGUUACACUUCAUAAACAACUUUUUCUAGUUCCCUAUAGCCUUUUGAAUAAUUUUGAUUUGUAAUCUUACUAGAAUCAAAUUUCUACAUAUUUUUAUCACUAUAAUUCAGUUAUUUAGAAAGUAUUUUCAGUAUUCUGAGUGGCAGAAGUUAAUCAAAAUCAAAUUAUUUGAUGAUUUAAAACAAAAUACAGGCAUGAGAAUAGGGUUUGGAGUUUCAGAUUUAAGUCUUCUAAAAUCAUUUUCAUUGUUCAUAGAAUUUUCUUAAGAAUAGCAAGAGACUGAAAAAUGUAAAGAAUGAUCUGUCCUUUCAAGAGCUGCCUUACAGUUUAUACAGAAAGUCUGGUACCUUGCUUCCUGCCUUCACUUCUGUGCUCUUUCCAGAUAAAACUCUUAGAAAGUAAAUAUUCCACUGUAAUACCCAUUUCUCACAUUGUUCCAGAGAGGUUUUAUUUGAUGAUAUGGGUUAGGGGCUCUCAGAUCCCACAGAUCCUAAGAUGUGAUUAUGAGGUUUUCUAAAUAAUAUAGUUGAAAUACCCAGAGGGGUCAGGGGAAGAUAAUACUCUAAGAAAACAAGUUUCAAAAGUUUUUGAGUGCGUGUGUGUGUGUGUGUGUGUGUGUGUUAAGGAUGGACAUUAAGUCUGUAAUUGGGAGACUAUAAAAUUUCCAAACCAAAGGCAGUCUGACUGGUAACAAAUCUGCUAAAGAAACAGCUGUGAAUGUUUUAUGUUGUAGCUAUUGGUCUUGGGAUUAUCUUUAUGCAUAUGAGAAGUCCAUAUUCAACAAAAGGCAGUUGCUUGUAUCAAGAAUGGAUGUUCUGUUUCAGAGAAAUCAGUUGAGUAACAACCUACCAUGCAAGUCAUGAAUUGGAAUGCUAGAAAGACAUGAAGAUGAUUUUCAUAUAAAUGAAGAACGGGGAACAGAUUCCAUCUUUCCAGCAGGUAUCUCAGUACAACUAAACUUAAGAUAAAGCCUGGAGUUACCUAAAAGAUGGUUAAAAGUUUAUGUACCCAAUAAGAUGAUUGAUGAUGAUUAAUGGUACUCAGUGAAACCCAUGAAGUGUUUGUUAGACUAAGUUGAGUGCGCACUUUAUGCGACUGUGACUAUUGUGAAUCCAUUUAAAGACUUGCAUGUGAGGUGCUUAGAUCAAAAUAUUCUGAAACAUAAAAAAGGAAAGGCAUCUCAGUGGAUAUCUGAACGUGUACUCAUAGACUCUACCUAGCAAGAGAAAGGGGGGGGGGGAAUGCUCAUGAAUUUUCCCAUAGAUACUGAACUUAUUUCUUAUAAAUGUUUCAAUAUUAUUUAGAUAUAUCUGAAUUUUCAUAUUAACCUGUUUCUUGAAAAGUUAUUUGAUACAAGAGUCACUCUAAAAUCCACUUGAGGAUUGGAAAGGAUCCUUUUGUAAUAUGCAGCAACACUGAAAUUUUUUGUGGAUCUUAAUUAUCAUGUUCUGCUUAAAGUGGCAUACACAUCAAGAUUCCUGUGCUUUGUUUUUUUUUUUUUUUGUAUCAAUAACUGCAGAUUUUGUAUUUGUGCUUUACUUGGCUGGUUUCUAAGAUUUCAGAAUUGAAUUAACUUUUUGUAACUUGAAAGAAUCCACAGAGAAAGCUGUGAAUUUAGCAUAUAUGACCCAGGACUGAACAGCUUCUUACACUGAAAGUUUAGUCAGUAUUGACUCCUUCACCUGCUAUCUAGAAGCUAAUUCUCCAUGGUCCUGUGAAAAAUAGCUUGGUUUGGAUAAACACAGCAUCAUUCAUUUAGCACUGGGAAAGCUAAUUACAAUGGAAUAGAGAUCACAACAUAAAAACUGGACACUUCUGCAACGUCUUAUUUGCAGAGUCAGUUAAUUAUGUACAUAAACCUCUGUUUCACUAGUGACCAGUUGCAGCCUUGGAUUUAUUUUAGAAAAGCAACUAUACUUUCAUUAACUGCCAUAAUGCCUUAGAAAUGUAAUGAGGAAUGUAGUUGGAUAAGGUAUAUUUCAGAGGACUUUGCAAUGCAGAACUAGCAGUGAGUGAAAUUCCUAUAAGCAUUUUCCGUGAGUUAGGAUUUUGUGAGCAUAAAUUUUUCCAACUUACAGUUCUCAUCAGUAUUGUUUGCCAAAUCAUUGGGUUUCUUAUUUUUCUGCUUUCUUUUCAGUUUAAGGUACUUUAUUUCCAUUUUCUAAAACCAAGUUUCUCACUCUUUGAAGUCCCAGAACAGCUGAUUGUUCCCAAUGCAGAUUUCUGUGUGUAUUGAAGUUAGAGUGUGACCCCAUGUAAUCACAGUUGGAGUCCGUUGCUAAUAAGACACUGGGCUGUAUUUCUCAUCAGACCACUCCUGCCACUUGAGAACAGAUUAUCAUUCACUUCUGAAACAACCACAAUUAAUUAAUUUGCUUUGUGUACUUGUAUUAUUCACCAUUGUGAAUAGAUGCUCUUAUAGAAUUUGACUCCUGUUUUAGUAAAGGUUAGACAGUUUUGCUUCCUUACAUAUUAUAAGCUUAAAAAGGUACACAGUGUGUUCCUAGAUAUAUGACUCGUUCACCUGGUUCAGCUUUUGUCUUUGAUCUGACACUUUGCUCAUGAAUCAGUUGAUAUUAGUCACAAAUGAAAAGUGACUCCCCACUAUAUACUGUGUUGAGGAGAAGCAAGUUUGACCUCCAAAAUAUCCUCUCUACCGGAAAUGCCAUUUUCAAUCCUUUACUACAGGUCUGCCAUGUGAAUCACAAGAGAUGGGACAUCAGAGUAUCAGAGUUGUACGGAUCACCAGUUAGAGAUACUGUUUGUGAUACUGAUAGGAGCAUGCAGAUUAGAGAGGAAAUUGUGUUCCUCAGUAUUGGGGAGAGAGAGAGUGAGACAGUGAAAGCCCGUGAACUCACCUACUAAGCCAGCCAAUCACUGAGCUCUCUCUUACAAAAGGUUUUUUACUUUUAACCUGUUUUUUUCAAUCAGAUUGUAAGGACAAACAUUUCCUGAUAUUUUUGUGUGUUUGUUUGUUUGUUAAGGUUUAAAAAAACAUGAAGACUUUUCCCAAUUAAAUUUAUGACAGUGUGAACUUAAAUAGUGCCAUUAAAUUUAUUCUGAAAGAACUGCCAACAUAAAACUUAGAUGUGUCAGUAUGUCAGCUGUGUACCUGGAAGAUACUGUAUAUCAGAAAAGUGUAUGCUUCUCUAAGUAAAUGUUACUAAGCCAUAUCACAUUU